rnacentral:rRNA from 1 species
UAGGGAAUAUUGGACAAUGGGGGCAACCCUGAUCCAGCCAUGCCGCGUGAGUGAAGAAGGCCCUCGGGUUGUAAAGCUCUUUUGUCCGGAAAGAAAAGCAUUCGGUGAAUACCCGGAUGUUCUGACGGUACCGGAAGAAUAAGCACCGGCUAACUUCGUGCCAGCAGCCGCGGUAAUACGAAGGGUGCAAGCGUUACUCGGAAUUACUGGGCGUAAAGCGUGCGUAGGUGGUUGUUUAAGUCUGAUGUGAAAGCCCUGGGCUCAACCUGGGAAUGGCAUUGGAAACUGGGCAGCUAGAGUGCGGUAGAGGGAAGUGGAAUUCCCGGUGUAGCAGUGAAAUGCGUAGAGAUCGGGAGGAACAUCUGUGGCGAAGGCGACUGCCUGGACCAGCACUGACACUGAGGCACGAAAGCGUGGGGAGCAAACA